GAUGAACGCUGGCGGCGUGCCUAAUACAUGCAAGUCGAGCGAACAGACGAGGAGCUUGCUCCUCUGACGUUAGCGGCGGACGGGUGAGUAACACGUGGAUAACCUACCUAUAAGACUGGGAUAACUUCGGGAAACCGGAGCUAAUACCGGAUAAUAUAUUGAACCGCAUGGUUCAAUAGUGAAAGACGGCUUUGCUGUCACUUAUAGAUGGAUCCGCGCCGCAUUAGCUAGUUGGUAAGGUAACGGCUUACCAAGGCAACGAUGCGUAGCCGACCUGAGAGGGUGAUAGACCACACUGGAACUGAGACACGGUCCAGACUCCUACGGGAGGCAGCAGUAGGGAAUCUUCCGCAAUGGGCGAAAGCGUGACGGAGCAACGCCGCGUGAGUGAUGAAGGUCUUCGGAGCGUAAAACUCUGUUAUUAGGGAAGAACAAAUGUGUAAGUAACUAUGCACGUCUUGACGGUACCUAAUCAGAAUGCCACGGCUAACUACGUG
rnacentral:rRNA from 1 species